AGAGUUUGAUCCUGGCUCAGGAUGAACGCUAGCUACAGGCUUAACACAUGCAAGUCGAGGGGAAACGAACAUCGAAAGCUUGCUUUUGAUGGGUGUCGACCGGCGCACGGGUGAGUAACGCGUAUCCAACCUGCCCACCACUUGGGGAGUAACCUUGCGAAAGUAAGACUAAUACCCAAUGAUAUCUCUAGAAGACAUCUGAAAGAGAUUAAAGAUUUAUCGGUGAUGGAUGGGGAUGCGUCUGAUUAGCUUGUUGGCGGGGUAACGGGCCCACCAAGGCAACGAUCAGUAGGGGUUCGUGAGAGGAAGGUCCCCCACCAUUGGAACUGAGACACGGUCCAAAUUCCUACGGGAGGGCAGCA
rnacentral:rRNA from 1 species